AUAGGUUAAUGAGGCGAACCGGGGGAACUGAAACAUCUAAGUACCCCGAGGAAAAGAAAUCAACCGAGAUUCCCCCAGUAGCGGCGAGCGAACGGGGAGGAGCCCAGAGCCUGAAUCAGCAUGUGUGUUAGUGGAAGCGUCUGGAAAGGCGCGCGAUACAGGGUGACAGCCCCGUACACAAAAGCGCAUGUGCUGUGAGCUCGAUGAGUAGGGCGGGACACGUGGUAUCCUGUCUGAAUAUGGGGGGACCAUCCUCCAAGGCUAAAUACUCCUGACUGACCGAUAGUGAACCAGUACCGUGAGGGAAAGGCGAAAAGAACCCCGGCGAGGGGAGUGAAAAAGAACCUGAAACCGUGUACGUACAAGCAGUGGGAGCACCCUUUGGGUGUGACUGCGUACCUUUUGUAUAAUGGGUCAGCGACUUAUAUUCUGUAGCAAGGUUAACCGAAUAGGGGAGC
rnacentral:rRNA from 1 species